rnacentral:rRNA from 1 species
UACGAAGGGGGCUAGCGUUGCUCGGAAUGACUGGGCGUAAAGGGCGCGUAGGCGGAUGGUACAGUCAGGUGUGAAAUUCCCGGGCUCAACCUGGGGGCGGCACUUGAUACGUAUGGUCUUGAGUGGGGAAGAGGGUCGUGGAAUUCCCAGUGUAGAGGUGAAAUUCGUAGAUAUUGGGAAGAACACCGGUGGCGAAGGCGGAAACCUGGUCCUUGACUGACGCUGAGGCGCGAAAGCGUGGGGAG